AUUGAACGCUGGCGGCAUGCCUUACACAUGCAAGUCGAACGGUAACAGGGAGCUUGCUCCGCUGACGAGUGGCGAACGGGUGAGUAAUGUAUCGGAACGUACCAUUCAGUGGGGGAUAACGUAGCGAAAGUUACGCUAAUACCGCAUAUUCUGUGAGCAGGAAAGCAGGGGAUCGCAAGACCUUGCGCUGAUUGAGCGGCCGAUAUCAGAUUAGCUAGUUGGUGAGGUAAAGGCUCACCAAGGCGACGAUCUGUAGCGGGUCUGAGAGGAUGAUCCGCCACACUGGAACUGAGACACGGUCCAGACUCCUACGGGAGGCAGCAGUGGGGAAUUUUGGACAAUGGGGGCAGCCCUGAUCCAGCCAUGCCGCGUGAGUGAAGAAGGCCUUCGGGUUGUAAAGCUCUUUCGGCCGGGAAAAAAUCGCAUCAGUUAAUACCUGGUGUGGAUGAUGGUACCGGAAUAAGAAGCACCGGCUAACUACGUG
rnacentral:rRNA from 1 species